rnacentral:rRNA from 1 species
CAAUAGCGUAUAUUAAAGUUGUUGCGGUUAAAAAGCUCGUAGUUGGAUUUCUGUUGAGGACGGCCGGUCCGCACUAUGUGCGUGUAUCUGGUUCGGCCUCGGCAUCCUCUCGAAAGCCGUGUCUGCGCUUGACUGCGUGGUUCGGACUUCGGGACUUUUACUUUGAGGAAAUUAGAGUGUUCACGGCAGGCAAGCGCCUUGAAUAUAUUAGCAUGGAAUAAUAAUCUAGGAUCUUGGUCCUAUUUUGUUGGUUUCUAGGGCUAAGAUAAUGAUUAAUAGGGACAAUUGGGGGCAUUCGUAUUAACGCGUCAGAGGUGGAAUUCUUGGGUUGCGUUACGACGAACUACUGCGAAAGCAUUUGCCAAGGAUGUUUUCAUUGA